rnacentral:rRNA from 1 species
AGUGAACGCUGGCGGUAGGCCUAACACAUGCAAGUCGAACGGCAGCACAGUAAGCGCUUGCUCUUACGGGUGGCGAGUGGCGGACGGGUGAGGAAUACAUCGGAAUCUACUUUUUCGUGGGGGAUAACGUAGGGAAACUUACGCUAAUAACGCAUACGUCCUCCGGGUGAAAGCAGGGGAUCUUCGGACCUUGCGCGAUUGAAUGAGCCGAUGUCGGAUUAGCUAGUUGGCGGGGUAAAGGCCCACCAAGGCGACGAUCCGUAGCUCGUCUGAGAGGAUGAUCAGCCACACUGGAACUGAGACACGGUCCAGACUCCUACGGGAGGCAGCAGUGGGGAAUAUUGGACAAUGGGCGCAAGCCUGAUCCAGCCAUACCGCGUGAGUGAAGAAGGCCUUCGGGUUGUAAAGCCCUGUUGUUGGGAAAGAAAAGCAGCAGGUUAAUACCCCGCUGUUCUGACGGUACCCAAAGAAUAAGCACCGGCUAACUUCGUG